CCUACGGGGCGCAGCAGUCGGGAAUAUUGCGCAAUGGAGGAAACUCUGACGCAGUGACGCCGCGUGCAGGAAGAAGGUUUUCGGAUUGUAAACUGCUUUAGACAGGGAAGAAAAAAGACAGUACCUGUAGAAUAAGCUCCGGCUAACUACGUGCCAGCAGCCGCGGUAAUACGUAGGGGGCAAGCGUUAUCCGGAUUUACUGGGUGUAAAGGGAGCGCAGGCGGCGUGGCAAGUCAGAUGUGAAAACCCGGGGCCCAACCCCGGGAGUGCAUUUGAAACUGCCAUGCUGGAGUGCCGGAGAGGUA
rnacentral:rRNA from 1 species